UACGGGGGGGGCAAGCGUUGUUCGGAAUUACUGGGCGUAAAGGGCUCGUAGGUGGCCAACUAAGUCAGACGUGAAAUCCCUCGGCUUAACCGGGGAACUGCGUCUGAUACUGGAUGGCUUGAGUUUGGGAGAGGGAUGCGGAAUUCCUGGUGUAGCGGUGAAAUGCGCAGAUAUCAGGAGGAACACCGGUGGCGAAGGCGGGUCUCUGGGCCGAUACUGACGCUGAGGAGCGAAAGCGUGGGGAGCAAACAGG
rnacentral:rRNA from 1 species